GGAUGUGAGGGCGAUCUGGCUGGCUAGGUGGUCCUCAUCCUCCCUCACCGCUACACACGCAUCACUCCCCAAACAGCCAGCUACAUGUAAGGACAACCACCCUUAAUAAGGGAGGACCAUUCCUUAGUCAAGGAUAUAGAAGCUGCACUAUAUGAAAAUUGUUAGACUGCUUGAAUUUGUUUAAUUGUAUGAAUGUGUUACAUCUUCAAAAGAAU
ensembl:misc_RNA 7SK 7SK RNA